UCUACGGGUGGCUGCAGUGGGGAAUAUUGGACAAUGGGCGAAAGCCUGAUCCAGCCAUGCCGCGUGUGUGAAGAAGGCCUUCGGGUUGUAAAGCACUUUCAGUGGGGAAGAAAGCCUUGGGGCUAAUACCCUCGAGGAAGGACAUCACCCACAGAAGAAGCACCGGCUAACUCCGUGCCAGCAGCCGCGGUAAUACGGAGGGUGCGAGCGUUAAUCGGAAUUACUGGGCGUAAAGCGCGCGUAGGCGGUCUGAUAAGCCGGUUGUGAAAGCCCCGGGCUCAACCUGGGAACGGCAUCCGGAACUGUCAGGAUAGAGUGCAGGAGAGGAAGGUAGAAUUCCCGGUGUAGCGGUGAAAUGCGUAGAGAUCGGGAGGAAUACCAGUGGCGAAGGCGGCCUUCUGGACUGACACUGACGCUGAGGUGCGAAAGCGUGGGUAGCAAACAGGAUUAGAUACCCGAGUAGUC
rnacentral:rRNA from 1 species